ACUCCUACGGGAGGCAGCAGUGGGGAAUAUUGCACAAUGGGCGCAAGCCUGAUGCAGCCAUGCCGCGUGUAUGAAGAAGGCCUUCGGGUUGUAAAGUACUUUCAGCAGUGAGGAAGGUGGGUAUGUUAAUAGCAUACUCAUUUGUACGUUAGCUGCAGAAGAAGCACCGGCUAACUCCGUGCCAGCAGCCGCGGUAAUACGGAGGGUGCGAGCGUUAAUCGGAAUUACGUGGGCGUAAAGCGCAUGCAGGUGGUUUGUUAAGUCAGAUGUGAAAGCCCGGGGCUCAACCUCGGAAUUGCAUUUGAAACUGGCAAACUAGAGUACUGUAGAGGGGGUAGAAUUUCAGGUGUAGCGGUGAAAUGCGUAGAGAUCUGAAGGAUACCGGUGGCGAAGGCGGCCCCUGGACAGAUACUGACACUCAGAUGCGAAAGCGUGGGAGCAAAC
rnacentral:rRNA from 1 species